GGACGGGGGUCUGCGCCUGCGCAGCGCGGACCCCCCGGCGGCGGCGUUCUUGUUGCUAUGCCGUCCCGCGGCUGUGGCACCGCCUCGGCAACGCUCCCCGGUCUCUCGGCUCUGCGCCGCCCAGCCCUCCGCUUUCGGGCGGGCUCGUGAGCGUGAGCACAGAUGCCGCCGCGCCGCAAGCUCGCGGGGAGGAAGGGCCCCUAAGACUGCGGACCUCCGGCGGGCCCGCCCGAGUGAGGGAGCUGGCAAGGAGACUCGCCGACGUCUCUGCGGAGGCGGGGGAGCGUUUGAAGGAGCCGGGACUGCAGGGUAACACUGCCACCCUCCACCUGAACGCGAGGCCAAGCUGGUCUUCCCUCGUGUGACUUCCUCAGUUCCUUGCGCUUUGGAGAGCUGGGAUAGCGGCCUGUUUUCCAGCGUGGCGGGACGAUGGACACUAACCGCAAAGAAGGAGCCCUCCUGCCACGAGAGGAUCCCAGCGCCGGCUUCCAGGGCCAUGCCUAGGCUGCUGUCCUGGGUCCUAUAAGAAAACAAGAGAGCCAGCCAUGAGCAAGCCAGUAUAAACAGCCCCUUCCUCGGCCCCUACAAUCAACUCCUGUCUCAGGCCUCUGCCCUGUUUGAGGUCUUGCCCUGACUUCCUUCAAUGAUGAACUAAUCUGUAGAACUGUAAGUGAAAUAAACCUUUUCCUCUCAAA